rfam:Gossypium raimondii Chr12_contig_576, whole genome shotgun sequence.
UAUUAAAAACUUUACUUAUUUUUACCACUAAAAACUUGCAUUACUGACAAAAUAACCAAACAGUUUCACGUGACGUGUCAUAUGCACCUCACUCUGACAUACAAUGUUUUAAUAGUAAAAAUAGAUGAAAUUUUAAAUA